rnacentral:rRNA from 1 species
AUACGGAAGGUCCAAGCGUUAUCCGGAUUCAUUGGGUUUAAAGGGUCCGCAGGCGGGAAAAUAAGUCAGUGGUGAAAGCCUACAGCUCAACUGUAGAACUGCCAUUGAUACUGUUUUUCUUGAGUAUAGAUGAAGUGGGCGGAAUAUAUCAUGUAGCGGUGAAAUGCAUAGAUAUGAUAUAGAACACCGAUUGCGAAGGCAGCUCACUAAACUAUUACUGACGCUCAGGGACGAAAGCGUGGGGAGCGAACAGGAUUAGAAACCCCGGUAGUCC